ACUCCUACGGGAGGCAGCAGUGGGGAAUAUUGCACAAUGGGCGCAAGCCUGAUGCAGCCAUGCCGCGUGUGUGAAGAAGGCCUUCGGGGUUGUAAAGCAACUUUCAGUUGCUGAGGAAAGGUUAGUCGCUAAUAUCGGGACUAGCUGUGACGUUAGCAACAGAAGAAGCACCGGCUAACUCCGUGCCAGCAAGCCGCGGUAAUACGGAGGGUGCGAGCGUUAAUCGGAAUUACUGGGCGUAAAGCGCGUGUAGGUGGCUUGUUAAGCCAGAUGUGAAAG
rnacentral:rRNA from 1 species